UACGUUUUUAAAGGUAGGAUGUAUGGGAUAUUUGUAGUACACCUUAAUUGGUUUAACUU
rnacentral:rRNA from 1 species